UGUGAACAUACCUAUACGUUGCCUCGGCGGAUCAGCCCGCGCCCCGUAAAACGGGACGGCCCGCCCGAGGACCCCUAAACUCUGUUUUUAGUGGAACUUCUGAGUAAAACAAACAAAUAAAUCAAAACUUUCAACAACGGAUCUCUUGGUUCUGGCAUCGAUGAAGAACGCAGCAAAAUGCGAUAAGUAAUGUGAAUUGCAGAAUUCAGUGAAUCAUCGAAUCUUUGAACGCACAUUGCGCCCGCCAGUAUUCUGGCGGGCAUGCCUGUUCGAGCGUCAUUUCAACCCUCAAGCUCAGCUUGGUGUUGGGACUCGCGGUAACCCGCGUUCCCCAAAUCGAUUGGCGGUCACGUCGAGCUUCCAUAGCGUAGUAAUCAUACACCUCGUUACUGGUAAUCGUCGCGGCCACGCCGUUAAACCCCAACUUCUGAAUGUUGACCUC
rnacentral:rRNA from 1 species